rnacentral:rRNA from 1 species
AGUGAACGCUGGCGGUAGGCCUAACACAUGCAAGUCGAACGGCAGCACAGUAAGAGCUUGCUCUUACGGGUGGCGAGUGGCGGACGGGUGAGGAAUACAUCGGAAUCUACUUUUUCGUGGGGGAUAACGUAGGGAAACUUACGCUAAUACCGCAUACGACCUACGGGUGAAAGCAGGGGAUCUUCGGACCUUGCGCGAUUGAAUGAGCCGACGUCGGAUUAGCUAGUUGGCGGGGUAAAGGCCCACCAAGGCGACGAUCCGUAGCUGGUCUGAGAGGAUGAUCAGCCACACUGGAACUAAGACACGGUCCAGACUCCUACGGGAGGCAGCAGUGGGGAAUAUUGGACAAUGGGCGCAAGCCUGAUCCAGCCAUACCGCGUGGGUGAAGAAGGCCUUCGGGUUGUAAAGCCCUUUUGUUGGGAAAGAAAAGCAGCAGGUUAAUACCCCGCUGUUCUGACGGUACCCAAAGAAUAAGCACCGGCUAACUUCGUG